UACGGAGGGUGCAAGCGUUAUCCGGAAUCAUUGGGCGUAAAGCGCGUGUAGGCGGCCCGGUAAGUCCGCUGUGAAAGUCGGGGGCUCAACCCUCGAAUGCCGGUGGAUACUGUCGGGCUAGAGUGCGGAAGAGGCGAGUGGAAUUCCUGGUGUAGCGGUGAAAUGCGCAGAUAUCAGGAAGAACACCAAUGGCGAAAGCAGCUCUCUGGGACGGUACUGACGCUGAGACGCGAAAGCGUGGGGAGCGAACAGG
rnacentral:rRNA from 1 species